GUUCAAACCCCAGCUCUGUGACAUCCUAGCCGGGUGGGCCUGAGGAAGCUCCUGAACUUCCCUAUGCCUCAGUUUCCUUAGCUGUGAUGUGGACAUGGAGUCCACUACCUGACAGUCAUCAUGAAGACAGAGUGAGUUAGUGUUCUACUCAUUUAGAACUUCACACACACAUGCGCCUCUCUAGGUGCUGGCUAACACUUUCAGCUGCUCGGCUGUACUGUCUGUGGGGGACCUUCGGGAUCAGGGCCACCAUCACCCACAUUUUGGACAUGGAAGCAGGAUGGGAGGCAACGUAAGUCAUUGCUGAAGCCGGGGCCAGGUCUCUGGACUGUAAGCCUCUGUGCCUUUACUAAGUGGGGGAGAGAGGAGGGAAGAGGAGAGACAGGGAUGGGAGAGGGAAAAUUAGACGACUUCCUCACAGAAAUGAAAAUUUAUAAAGUAGUGGCAGAGAGAAAGGUGGCAGCAUCCGAGUACAACACAAGCAGGCCGUACAGAGCAGGCUAUAAAUAGUCAAGCGUUGGAGGCAGUCUGACCUAAUAACAGGAGUCUCAGACCCAUCACUCCCUAGCUGCAGGACAUGGGCAAACCACUUUUCCUCAUCAGACCUGAUUCCUCAUCUACAAAAUGGGCCAGUAAUGCCAGAUGCCGGGGGCUUACAUGAAGCGGUCUAUGUAAACACUCAGCCCAGCGACGGGCAUGCGAUGGCUUGUCUAAGAGAUCUGCCUCUGCUGGCGACUUGCUGAGUGACUUGGGGUAAGUCCCUUCCCCUCUCUGGGCUCCAGUGGUCUCCUCCAUAAAAUAAGUGGGUUGUCAUGGGGGAUCUCUGAGGUCCUGCCCACCUCCAACAUCAUGUGGGUCUGUGAUGUUCUGACUUCCCCCAGGACGCUCUGGCUGCUUGGGCAAGCGUUUGACAGCCCUGAAAGUAGAAGCUGCCCCUGCUCACUGAGGCAUCGUCUGAGAGCUAUGCUGUGCUCACCGCAGAGCCCAUAAAGGUAGGGCCAACUACAUCCCACUAGCGGCAGGAAAGCCUUUGCAGCCACCCUCUGUGAUCCGUACCAUGAGCUGGAAGCGUUAUUAAUCCCACUCCCAUUCUCCCUGUCUUCUGCUGAGUUGCAGAGACCCACCUUAACCUGUGUUACUCCAUCCAAAGCACCACUAGCCUUCCCCUCUCCUGCUGCAGCUCCUGUCCCAUCCCAAGCAGGUCAGGUCCCCUGACCACCUACAAAGCCCCACAGAACUUCUCACGCAGAACAGGGCCUGUGCCACCACCUUGCAGCACCUGAGCUGGAUGAGAUGCCAAGACAGACUCCCCCCAGUUGUCGGGGGUGGGAUUCCUCGGCCACUACCUGCCCUGGAAAUAUCUGGAGGCAGUGGGGAGAGCAGGACCGUGGAGUCGGUCAACACCACCUACUGACUUCUAACAGUGGGCAAGAACUUCGCCUCUGAGCCUUCUUUCAUCUUAAAACGGGGACGUUAUUUUCCAAAUGUUUAUUGUGAGUUGUCAAAAUGAGUAAAAGUCUACAGCACCAGUCUGACAUCCAGGAAAUACUUAAAAUUAAAAAGCUGUUAUUAUUAUGGGUCUCCAUCUUAGUGUACAGGGAUAAUAACAAUAUAAAUUCUAGAGAACUGUCCAAUACAGUAGCCACUAUACAAGCCUGGCUAUUUACACUUAAAUUUGAACUAUUUAAAAUUAAAUAAAAUGUAAUAUUUAGCUACUCAAUCACUCUAGCCACGUUCCAAGUGCUCCACAGCCAUGCGUGGCUGGGGGCCGUGUUUUGCACAGCACAGAUAUUGAACAUUUUCAUCAUAGCAGGAAGUUCUACCGGGCACUGCUAGUCUAGAGAGUCUAUACAUUGCACAGGUUUAUUUGAGCAACAAAUCAGGUUUCCAUAUAGUUCAUACUGGUGUCCGCACCCGACAUCCUGGCCUCGUGCGUGGCAGAUGCCCCCUUCUCUGACUUUCUGGAGCUAGAUGCUGAGGGAGGGCUAACUUUCAAGCCAUGGCCUUUGUUUCUAGGUUCUCUAGGAGCCUACAUGGAGCAUCAGGGAUUCUCUCCACGAGAAUGACCUUAGAGGCAGGCUAGUUCAUCUGUGCCUUUCCCAGGGCCGCUAUGUAUGGCAGCUCAGGUUGUGCACUGUGCAGUUCCAGGGGGUACUCACAGAUACACCCUACGUUCACUCCCUCUUUUAAUCCUGACAAACCAUGAGGCAGGAAGUACUACUCCCCUACAUUUUAUGCACAAGGAAACUGAAGCUUAAAGAGUUAAAUAAGUUGCCCAAGUCACCCAGCUAGCAAGUGGUAGUGCUAGGAUUCGAACUUCGAACCCAGAUUCAGUGUCAUGCUUACUCCCAAGGAAUGAAUGAAGUGGAGGUUUUAUUUGUCAAUCUGCUGUUAGUGGCACUGAGAGGGAGUAUGUGAAGCUCCCUUACAAUAGCCACUGUCCUCUCUUGCCAGGAUCUGGAACUUGUUUGGAGAGCAAAGAAUUCCUGCUCCAUAAAAGCUGUUGGAUUCAAGAUGCUCUGGGCUGUGCGUUUCUGCUGUGUUUACAGGCAGGAAGAGGGGAUCUGAGAAGGAGCCCACCUUGUGCUUGUUCUCUCGGCACCGGGCCGUCUGGAGGUCUGCGUUGGGCACCGGAGGCGGGGCCAGGCACAUGAGCUCGCACAGGGCCUCCGGGAAGGACCACAGCCCGUCCUCCAUACAUCUGUGGAGCCCAGGGAGGCCAAGAGCUGCCACAAAGGAGAGGAGAUCCAAUUGCAUGAGUGGCUUGCAAUGUCUGCAGGGAAGUGAAAUUCAAGGCUCCUGACAACUGACACUGCGUAAGACAGACUUUUACACUCCUUCCAUCUGACCCCCUUGCUUUGCCAGAUGGGCAUCCAAGUCCGGAGGUGAAAGCGCUUGCCUCCUAAUAAUGAACCCAGUACGCUCCUCUCAGAAUCUACUCGGUAUCCACGUGCUGAGUAACCUCAAGCUGCUGCCCGCUCUGGGCCCUGCACCCCUGUGCU